rnacentral:rRNA from 1 species
CCUACGGGAGGCAGCAGUGGGGAAUAUUGCGCAAUGGGCGAAAGCCUGACGCAGCGACGCCGCGUGAGGGAUGAAGGUCUUCGGAUCGUAAACCUCUGUCAGCAGGGAAGAACGGUCACUGUGCUAAUCAGCAGUGAAUUGACGGUACCUGCAAAGGAAGCACCGGCUAACUCCGUGCCAGCAGCCGCGGUAAUACGGAGGGUGCGAGCGUUAAUCGGAAUUACUGGGCGUAAAGCGCUCGUAGGCGGUAUGUCAAGUCAAGGGUGAAAUCCCCGCGCUCAACGUGGGAACUGCCUUUGAAACUGGCAAACUGGAGUGUGGGAGAGGAUAGUGGAAUUCCAGGUGUAGGAGUGAAAUGCGUAGAUAUCUGGAGGAACAUCAGUGGCGAAGGCGACUAUCUGGCACAUAACUGACGCUGAGGAGCGAAAGCGUGGGUAGCAAACAGGAUUAGAUACCCCAGUAGUC